rnacentral:rRNA from 1 species
CCCUUAGAUGUUCUGGGCUGCACGCGCGCUACACUGACACACGCAACGAGUCUCCUGCCCUGACAGGGUCGGGUAAUCAUUUGAGUGUGUGUCGUGAUGGGGAUAGAGUAUUGCAAUUAUUGCUCUUGAACGAGGAAUUCCUAGUAAGCACAAGUCAGCAGCUUGUGCUGAUUACGUCCCUGCCCUUUGUACACACCGCCCGUCGCUCCUACCGAGGGGGUGAUCCGGUGAACGAUUCGGACUCUGGUGCUUCUAGCUGCUAGAUGCGCCGGAGGAAGUUUUGUGAACCUUAUCACUUGGAGGAAGGAGAAGUCGUAACA